CGGUGGAGGUAUGUUCAUAUCGGACCCAAAGAAACCGGCGGGAGGACAUGUACUAGCCCAUGCUGCCACCAUCCGGUUGAUGCUUCGAAAGGGCAAAGGAGAACAACGUGUCUGCAAGAUCUUCGACGCACCAAACCUACCUGAAUCCGAAACCAUAUCCUUACUUUCAAGUUUCCACUACUUAAAUUACAUAUAUGAAUAAAACGGAUGCUAUUAUGAUAUAAAUUUGAUUCGGUUGACGACGAAUGCAUAAAUGAAUGAAGAUGUGUACCUUGACAGAGGAAUCACGUGUUCCAGAUAACACAGGGAGGAGUUGCGGAUGCAAAAGACUGAAGAAAAGAUCGAAGAGAUAUAUUGAUGUU
rnacentral:lncRNA from 1 species